AUGCCACCGCCCGCGCCUGACCGGGCGUCUCCUCUGCCUCGACGCCGCACGCAGCCGAAGAAGCCCGCCAGGCACCACCCCCGCCCGGUCCAGAUCGAGGACGAGGCGAGCCAGCCCCACCACCGCGCCGCCCGGCACACGGCCCACUCUGCUGCCACCGAGAAAGCGCCGGAGAGCCACCGCGCCGCUGCGCCCGGCGCCAGCGCCGCAUCCCGCCGUGGCCGCCCCGUCCCGCAUCGAGGCCACCACGCGAGGAGCCGAGACCGCCCCGCCGCCGCCGGCGCCGGCCAGGCUUUGCCUGGCCGCACCCUGUGGCGGCGGCGAGGGAGGAGGAGCGGGGGAAGAGGGGCCUCUGGCGGCGGCGGCGUGGUCGCCCUCCCCGUCGCACGCGGGGCGACGCGGGAGGGGAUAGGGGAGAGAAGAAUUCAGAAGACGUCGGUGGAGAUUUAA
rnacentral:rRNA from 1 species